UACGUAGGGAGCAAGCGUUGUUCGGAUUUACUGGGCGUAAAGGGCGCGUAGGCGGCAAAUUAAGUCAGCUGUGAAAUCUCCGGGCUUAACUCGGAACGGUCAGCUGAUACUGAUCUGCUAGAGUGCGGAAGGGGCAAUCGGAAUUCUUGGUGUAGCGGUGAAAUGCGCAGAUAUCAGGAAGAACACCUAUGGCGAAGGCAGCUCUCUGGGACGGUACUGACGCUGAGACACGAAAGCCAGGGGAGCAAACGGG
rnacentral:rRNA from 1 species